rnacentral:rRNA from 1 species
UACGUAGGCAGCAAGCGUUGUUCAGAGUUACUGGGCGUAAAGGGUGUGUAGGCGGUUAUUUAAGUUUGGUGUGAAAUCUCCCGGCUCAACCGGGAGGGUGCGCCGAAUACUGAAUGACUUGGAGUGCGGGAGGGGAAAGUGGAAUUCCUGGUGUAGCGGUGAAAUGCGUAGAUAUCAGGAGGAACACCGGUGGUGUAGACGGCUUUCUGGACCGUAACUGACGCUGAGACACGAAAGCGUGGGUAGCAAACAGG